rnacentral:rRNA from 1 species
AGCGAACGCUGGCGGCAGGCUUAACACAUGCAAGUCGAGCGGGCACUUUCGGGUGUCAGCGGCGGACGGGUGAGUAACACUUGGGAACGUGCCCUCUGGUUCGGAAUAACUCAGGGAAACUUGAGCUAAUACCGGAUACGCCCUUUUGGGGAAAGGCUUGCUGCCGGAGGAUCGGCCCGCGUCUGAUUAGCUAGUUGGUGAGGUAACGGCUCACCAAGGCGACGAUCAGUAGCUGGUCUGAGAGGAUGAUCAGCCACACUGGGACUGAGACACGGCCCAGACUCCUACGGGAGGCAGCAGUGGGGAAUAUUGGACAAUGGGCGCAAGCCUGAUCCAGCCAUGCCGCGUGAGUGAUGAAGGCCUUAGGGUUGUAAAGCUCUUUUAUCCGGGACGAUAAUGACGGUACCGGAGGAAUAAGCCCCGGCUAACUUCGUG